GUCACUAGAGCUCAGGAAGGACACGUCAGCAGAUUCUCCACACAGAUGUCUGGAAAUCAGCCCACAGAUCAACAACAGACUAGACCUCUUGAAAACAGAGUCAGGCAGCAUGGAGGUCCCUGCGGUCACACUUUCAUGCAAAAGUUGCUGAAAAAGUUGCUUGUUGCACUUCCGAAAUGUGUUUGCUGCACCUCUGAAGCAAGUGAAAUUUAAUUUCACUGCUGGUUAUGCCCCUGGAUGUCAUGUCAACUCAAACUCUCUAGACCCACUCUUCAUGUCAAGAUAUGAGAAAGGGUCUGGUGUUGUUGGUAGGCCAUCCUGGACGACAGUGAAACAGUACACCUCCCACUUUUUGAAGACAUUCACAGAGAGACUGGGAGUCAGGGUGAGUCGUACAUCUUUUGUUUGUUUGCGUACAAGUACUAAGUGUACAGUCUACACAUAUUGCUUUUAUGUCUAUGCUACUCUUGUCUGCGUACUGUCCCUAUAUGUUGCUUUUUGCUCUUAUGACUGUGUUCAAGGCGACAACUAAAACACAGCAGUUUGUUAUCCGAGUACGACUCUAUGCUGAUGAUGCUGCUCUCUGUGCAUCAUCUCCGGAUCAGCUUUGCUGAAUCAUGUGACCAGUUCGGGCUUACCAUCAGCCUGAAGAAAACUGUCACCAUGUCACAGGCCGCUGACUCACACAUUCACAAUAAAUAAAAAAGAUGGAAAAGUA